GGGCGUAUAGCUCAGCGGGAGAGCACUACGUUGACAUCGUAGGGGUCACUGGUUCGAUCCCAGUUACGCCCACCA
rnacentral:tRNA from 1 species